GACGAACGCUGGCGGCGUGCUUAACACAUGCAAGUCGAACGGAAAGGCCCUGCUUUUGUGGGGUGCUCGAGUGGCGAACGGGUGAGUAACACGUGAGUAACCUGCCCUUGACUUUGGGAUAACUUCAGGAAACUGGGGCUAAUACCGGAUAGGAGCUCCUGCUGCAUGGUGGGGGUUGGAAAGUUUCGGCGGUUGGGGAUGGACUCGCGGCUUAUCAGCUUGUUGGUGGGGUAGUGGCUUACCAAGGCUUUGACGGGUAGCCGGCCUGAGAGGGUGACCGGCCACAUUGGGACAGAGAUACGGCCCAGACUCCUACGGGAGGCAGCAGUGGGGAAUAUUGCACAAUGGGCGGAAGCCUGAUGCAGCAACGCCGCGUGCGGGAUGACGGCCUUCGGGUUGUAAACCGCUUUCGCCUGUGACGAAGCGUGAGUGACUGUAAUGGGUAAAGAAGCACCGGCUAACUACGU
rnacentral:rRNA from 1 species